UUAAGUCAUCAAUAAGAGAAAUUUGUUUAGUUAAGUACAAAGUUGCGUUUUUUUCUUUCAUGAUCAACAGCAAUUACAUAAAAUUAAAAUAUGGAUAAAACAAGAUCAGACAGAGACCCAUCUUCCAUAUUGGUGUUUUUUUUUUUUUUUUUUUGCUUAAUACAUAAAAUAACAAGGGGAAAUUAAAUAUUAUAGAUUUCAAUUCUCGUUCUCAACUCGUCAAUUCAUCAUUAAUACGAGUUCCAAGCUUCCUUCAUAACUUCCAGGAGCUUCAACGAUUACGCUGUCUGCGAAAGUAAUCUCUAGGAUUUGCCUCAAAUUCGUCCCUAGGAAUUUUGAAAGGUCGGUUGCCUGGGGCUUUCAUCAUCUUCUUCUUCUUCUCCUUAUGAUUUUUUGGCCCCGGAUCCGGGUCCGAGUAAUUGGCUA
rnacentral:lncRNA from 1 species